GACAGAGGGUGCAAACGUUGCCCGGAAUUACUGGGCGUAAAGCGCGUGUAGGCGGGCCGGUAAGUCGGGCGUGAAAGCCCUGGGCUCAACCCAGGAACUGCACUCGAAACUUCCGGUCUAGAGUGGUGGAGAGGGAAGUGGAAUUCCGAGUGUAGAGGUGAAAUUCGUAGAUAUUCGGAAGAACACCAGUGGCGAAGGCGACUCGCUGGACAGAUAUUGACGCUGAGGUGCGAAAGCGUGGGGAGCAAACAGG
rnacentral:rRNA from 1 species